rnacentral:rRNA from 1 species
GAUGAACGCUGGCGGCGUGCCUAGUACAUGCAAGUCGAGCGAACAGACGAGGAGCUUGCUCCUUCGACGUUAGCGGCGGACGGGUGAGUAACACGUAGGUAACCUACCUAUAAGACUGGGAUAACUUCGGGAAACCGGAGCUAAUACCGGAUAAUAUUUCGAACCGCAUGGUUCGAUAGUGAAAGAUGGCUUUGCUAUCACUUAUAGAUGGACCUGCGCCGUAUUAGCUAGUUGGUAAGGUAACGGCUUACCAAGGCAACGAUACGUAGCCGACCUGAGAGGGUGAUAGGCCACACUGGAACUGAGACACGGUCCAGACUCCUACGGGAGGCAGCAGUAGGGAAUCUUCCGCAAUGGGCGAAAGCCUGACGGAGCAACGCCGCGUGAGUGAUGAAGGUCUUCGGAUCGUAAAACUCUGUUAUUAGGGAAGAACAAACGUGUAAGUAACUGUGCACGUCUUGACGGUACCUAAUCAGAAAGCCACGGCUAACUACGUG